UAUCUAAUCAACUGUAUACACCUGUUUCAGCACAUCACAAGUCACAAUAAAUACACUGCUAACCACAACAUUAUCAGCACAGUGAACAUCAAGAGAAGAUGUCGGAUGAGUUCAGUUCAGGUCACUGUGUCCUUCUUUAGAAGCAGAGUCCAUAAUCAACUUUACAGCCUCAUGCACCUGUUUAACGACAUCACAAGUCACAGUAAACACCAAACUGCUGAUUAUUAUUCCAAUAUUCAAAUAUUCUGUCAGUAGAGCAACAAUGUGUGAUGUCAUUUCCUUCGUCAUAUAGAGAGGGAGAUCAGUUCAGUUUAUUUCAUUCUCCUCCUACACUCAGAUGAGUUCAAUUCAGGCCACUGUGUCUGUCUUUAGCAGCAGGAGUUCAACAUGGUCACAGCUCUCCUUAUUCUGGCACUUUGUCUUUUUAUUGGUCAAGUAGAUGGAAGUGGUGUUUUCCAGAUGCCUGAUAUAAUCUGGGGUUCUCCAGGGAACUCUGUAGAAAUGAACUGCAGUCACAAUAAGGGUAUUAACUACAGACAGAUGUACUGGUUUAAACAGCUUCCAGGAGAGGGAAUUACACUCCUCGUAUUCACAUCAGUUGGUGGUAUACCAGAUUAUGGGAAAUUCAGUAAAGACAAAUAUGAAGCAAUUAAGACUGUAGCUGACAGUGGCUCUUUAACCGUGAAGACCUUGGAUCAAGGAGACGAUGCUCUGUAUUUUUGUGCUGUGAGCCAACACUGUGGUGCAAACUCACUAUAGUGUUGUACAAAUACCCAAAGAUCUAAUGAGGAAGUCUGCAUAUUCAUCUGGUCUCUAGAUGGUGCUGUAGUUUCAUUUAG